UACGAAGGGGGCUAGCGUUGCUCGGAAUUACUGGGCGUAAAGCGCACGUAGGCGGUCUUUUAAGUCGGGGGUGAAAUCCUGGAGUUCAACUCCAGAACUGCCUUCGAUACUGGAAGACUCGAGUCCGGGAGAGGUGAGUGGAACUGCGAGUGUAGAGGUGAAAUUCGUAGAUAUUCGCAAGAACACCAGUGGCGAAGGCGGCUCACUGGCCCGGUACUGACGCUGAGGUGCGAAAGCGUGGGGAGCAAACAGG
rnacentral:rRNA from 1 species